AUUGAACGCUGGCGGCAGGCCUAACACAUGCAAGUCGAGCGGAUGAAGGGAGCUUGCUCCUGGAUUCAGCGGCGGACGGGUGAGUAAUGCCUAGGAAUCUGCCUGGUAGUGGGGGAUAACGUCCGGAAACGGGCGCUAAUACCGCAUACGUCCUGAGGGAGAAAGUGGGGGAUCUUCGGACCUCACGCUAUCAGAUGAGCCUAGGUCGGAUUAGCUAGUUGGUGGGGUAAAGGCCUACCAAGGCGACGAUCCGUAACUGGUCUGAGAGGAUGAUCAGUCACACUGGAACUGAGACACGGUCCAGACUCCUACGGGAGGGAGCAGUGGGGAAUAUUGGACAAUGGGCGAAAGCCUGAUCCAGCCACGCCGCGUGUGUGAAGAAGGUCUUCGGAUUGUAAAGCACUUUAAGUUGGGAGGAAGGGCAGUAAGUUAAUACCUUGCUGUUUUGACGUUACCAACAGAAUAAGCACCGGCUAACUUCGUG
rnacentral:rRNA from 1 species